rnacentral:rRNA from 1 species
AGCUCCAAUAGCGUAUAUUAAAGUUGUUGCGGUUAAAAAGCUCGUAGUUGGAUCUCGGCAGGUAGGGGGCGGUUCGUUUCUGACGGCACUGCCCCAUUUACCUGUGUUUUUGACGGAGGUUUCACGGUGAUUUUCAUCGAUUGUCGUGAUACGCCGUCAGGUUUACUUUGAAAAAAUUAGAGUGCUCAAAGCAGGCUACAAGCUUGAAUAUUUGUGCAUGGAAUAAUGGAAUAGGAAGUCGUUUCUAUUUUUUUGGUUUUCGGAAAUUGACUUAAUGAUUAAUAGGGACAGCCGGGGGCAUUCGUACUCAGACGACAGAGGUGAAAUUCUUGGAUCCUCGCCAGACCAACAAAAGCGAAAGCAUUUGCCAAGAAUGUCUUCA